rnacentral:tRNA from 1 species
AGUCUUAUAUUCAACAAUGAUUUUAAAUUGCAAAUUUAAAGGUGGAGUAUGCCCUAAGGCUU